rnacentral:rRNA from 1 species
UUGGAGGGCAAGUCUGGUGCCAGCAGCCGCGGUAAUUCCAGCUCCAAUAGCGUAUAUUAAAGUUGUUGUGGUUAAAAAGCUCGUAGUUGAACCUUGGGCCUGGCUGGCCGGUCCGCCUCACCGCGUGUACUGGUCCGGCCGGGCCUUUCCCUCUGUGGAACCCCAUGCCCUUCACUGGGUGUGGCGGGGAGACAGGACUUUUACUGUGAAAAAAUUAGAGUGCUCCAGGCAGGCCUAUGCUCGAAUACAUUAGCAUGGAAUAAUAGAAUAGGACG